GCGGUCGUAGCUCCGUUUCCGGUGGCUCGUCGCGCUCGCUCACUCCAGCUGCAGCCACUCUUGCCCGUGGCUGCUUCCUCCAUCCUGGUAUUUUUUGGAGCCUCCAUCCUGGUUCUUCCAAAGUGCCCGGACCCAAAACAGGAAAGUGUUGCAGAGGUAGGAAUAUGGGAGAGAAGCAGUCUGGAUAACAUGAAAGUGAUGCUGGUGUCUAAGGGAAGGCGACUCGAUUCUUUGGGAAGGGCUAUACCUGAUCCAUCUAUUUUCUAGAUUUGAGUAUGAGCACAGUUGAAGAGGAUUCUGACACAGUAACAGUAGAAACUGUGAACUCUGUGACUUUGACUCAGGACACAGACGGGAACCUCAUUCUUCAUUGCCCUCAGAAUGAAGCUGAUGAAAUAGACUCAGAAGAUAGUACUGAACCUCCACAUAAAAGGCUUUGUCUGUCUUCUGAGGAUGAUCAGAGUAUCGAUGGUUCUACUCCUUGCAUAUCAGUUGUUGCACUGCCACUUUCAGAAAAUGAUCAGAGCUUUGAGGUGACCAUGACUGCAACCACAGAAGUGGCAGAUGAUGAGAUUACUGAGGGAACUGUGACACAGAUCCAGAUUCUACAGAAUGAGCAACUAGAUGAAAUAUCUUCCUUGGGUAAUGAGGAAGUUUCAGCAGUUAGCCAAGCAUGGUUUACAACUAAAGAAGAUAAGGAUUCUCUGACCAACAAAGGACAUAAAUGGAAACAGGGGAUGUGGUCUAAGGAAGAAAUUGAUAUUUUGAUGAACAAUAUUGAACGCUAUCUAAAGGCACGCGGAAUAAAAGAUGCUACAGAAAUCAUCUUUGAGAUGUCAAAAGACGAAAGAAAAGAUUUCUACAGGACUAUAGCAUGGGGUCUGAACCGGCCUUUGUUUGCAGUUUAUAGAAGAGUGCUUCGCAUGUAUGAUGACAGAAACCAUGUGGGAAAAUAUACACCUGAAGAAAUUGAAAAGCUCAAGGAGCUCCGGAUAAAGCAUGGCAAUGACUGGGCAACAAUAGGGGCGGCGCUAGGAAGAAGCGCGUCUUCCGUCAAAGAUCGGUGCCGACUGAUGAAGGAUACUUGCAACACAGGGAAGUGGACGGAAGAAGAGGAGAAGAGACUUGCAGAGGUGGUUCAUGAAUUGACAAGCACUGAGCCAGGUGACAUAGUGACACAGGGCGUGUCAUGGGCAGCUGUGGCAGAGCGAGUCGGGACCCGCUCAGAAAAGCAGUGUCGUUCUAAAUGGCUCAACUACCUGAACUGGAAACAGAGUGGAGGUACUGAAUGGACCAAGGAAGAUGAAAUCAAUCUCAUCCUCAGGAUAGCAGAGCUUGAUGUAGCUGAUGAAAAUGACAUCAACUGGGAUCUGUUAGCGGAGGGAUGGAGCAGUGUCCGUUCACCACAAUGGCUUCGAAGUAAAUGGUGGACCAUCAAAAGGCAAAUUGCAAAUCAUAAGGAUGUUUCAUUCCCUGUCUUAAUAAAAGGUCUUAAACAGUUACAUGAGAAUCAAAAAAACAACCCAACGCUUUUGGAGAAUAAAUCAGGAUCUGGAGUUCCAAACAGUAAUUCCAAUUCCAGUGUACAGCAUGUUCAGAUCAGAGUCGCCCGCUUGGAAGACAGUACAGCCAUCUCUCCAAGCCCCAUGACAGCCUUGCAGAUUCCAGUCCAGAUCACCCAUGUCUCUUCAACAGAGUCCCCUGCUGCUACUGUUGACUCGGAAACAAUAACACUAAACAGUGGAACACUACAGGCAUUUGAGAUUCUUCCAUCUUUCCAUUUACAGCCCACUGGCACUCCAGGCACCUACCUGCUUCAGACAAGCUCAAGCCAAGGCCUUCCCCUCACUCUGACAGCUAGUCCCACAGUAACCCUGACGACUGCCGCACCUGCUUCUCCUGAACAGAUCAUUGUUCACGCUUUAUCCCCAGAACAUUUGUUAAACACAAGUGACAACGUCACGGUGCAGUGUCACACACCACGCGUCAUCAUUCAGACUGUUGCCACAGAAGACAUCACUUCUUCCAUAUCCCAAGCAGAACUGACAGUAGACAGUGAUAUUCACUCAUCUGAUUUUCCUGAGCCUCCAGAUGCCCUAGAAGCAGACACUUUCCCAGAUGAAAUUCAUCAGCCUAAGAUUACUGUAGAGCCAUCAUUUAAUGAUGCUCAUGUAUCCAAAUUCAGUGACCAAAAUAGCACAGAACUGAUGAAUAGUGUUAUGGUCAGAGCGGAAGGAAUCUCUGACACCGACCUUAAACAAGAGGAGUCAUCUUCUCCUUUAGCCCGUGCUUAUGUUACUGAGGAUCUAGAGUCUCCUACCAUAGAAGAACAAGUUGAUCAAACAGCCAUUGAUGAUGAAACCAUACUUAUCGUUCCUUCACCACAUGGCUUUAUCCAGGCAUCUGAUGUUAUAGAUACUGAAUCUGUCUUGCCUUUGACAACACUAACAGAUCCCAUACUCCAACAUCAUCGAGAAGAAUCAAAUAUCAUUGGAUCAUCUUUGGGCAGUCCUGUUUCAGAAGACUCAAAGGAUGUUGAGGAUUUGGUCAACUGUCAUUAGGGACUCCGAGACUGGCUUACUGCGCAUCACCAGUCUGAUUUCAGGGUUCAGCAAGAACGCUACAGAGAGGUAAACAGCACUUGCCAGGAGCAAGAGGCAGCUAAAGGAAAGAGGUCCGCGGAGAGGUGCCAGCCUGCACUGGCCUUCCACACAGCAUGGGAAGAAGAGGGAAGGACGCAGGAAAAAUACUUUUGUACAUGGAUCUUUUGCCUCUGGAACCAAAGAUCUGAAUCUCCGGACCCAGUAACAUAUCCCCUACACAGAUCCCACCGCCCCCCAUAUUAGCAGAGUUCAGUGUAUGUACUGUCACCAAAGUCACUCACUUUCUUCUAUCACGCCCAGUCCACAGGUACUACUUCCCCACCCUCUCCAGAGUCCCAGUGAAAAUCAGCAUGCUAAAGGUUCUGACGAGUCCCCCAGAGGAGGAAACUAUUUUGUGCAAAGGACUACGGAAACACCGUAACUAAGAACUCACCUGCUUCAGAAUCGUGCUGUCCACUACGGCGGUAUUAGCUGUUGGUGGUUACUGAGCACCUGGAAUGUGCUCGGCCAAACCCGACACGGGCUCCGAGUGAAAAAUACACGCUGGUUGUCCAAGGCUUAGUCCAGAAAUGUAGAAGUAUUUCGGC